GAACCGUCCAAACGUUAUUCGGAAUCACUGGGCUUAAAGGGUGCGUAGGCGGCGCGGAAAGUUGGGUGUGAAAUACCUCGGCUCAACCGAGGAACUGCGCCCAAAACUGCCGUGCUCGAGGGAGAUAGAGGUGAGCGGAACUUAGGGUGGAGCGGUGAAAUGCGUUGAUAUCCUAAGGAACACCGGUGGCGAAGGCGGCUCACUGGAUCUCUUCUGACGCUGAGGCACGAAAGCUAGGGUAGCGAACGGGAUUAGAUACCCCGGUAGUCCUAGCCGUAAACGAUGAGCACUGGAUUGGAGGGUUCCCUCCCAUAGCCUUCCAGUCGCAACGAAAGCGUUAAGUGCUCCGCCUGGGGGAGUAUGGUCGCAAGGCUG
rnacentral:rRNA from 1 species